GACGAACGCUGGCGGCGUGCCUAAUACAUGCAAGUUGUGCGCUGAAGGUUGGUACUUGUACCAACUGGAUGAGCAGCGAACGGGUGAGUAACGCGUGGGGAAUCUGCCUUUGAGCGGGGGACAACAUUUGGAAACGAAUGCUAAUACCGCAUAAAAACUUUAAACACAAGUUUUAAGUUUGAAAGAUGCAAUUGCAUCACUCAAAGAUGAUCCCGCGUUGUAUUAGCUAGUUGGUGAGGUAAAGGCUCACCAAGGCGAUGAUACAUAGCCGACCUGAGAGGGUGAUCGGCCACAUUGGGACUGAGACACGGCCCAAACUCCUACGGGAGGCAGCAGUAGGGAAUCUUCGGCAAUGGACGAAAGUCUGACCGAGCAACGCCGCGUGAGUGAAGAAGGUUUUCGGAUCGUAAAACUCUGUUGGUAGAGAAGAACGUUGGUGAGAGUGGAAAGCUCAUCAAGUGACGGUAACUACCCAGAAAGGGACGGCUAACUACGUG
rnacentral:rRNA from 1 species